CUCCCGUGUCCCCGUAGGUCUGUCUGCAAGGUAGACCACAACCCAGCAAGGAGGAGAGCUGGAGGAAGGGUUGCUUUGGAAGAGUCUAAGAAAACCAAUUAUGGAAGCAAGAACCAACGCCUCUGAGAACAUCACACUUAGGCACUUCCCAUCCAACUAAGAUUGACAGGCCAAGGUAAUAAAAGAGAAGGGCUCCACAAUGUGGCAUCUUCCAGAAUUCCUCUGCCUGUCACUGGGUGAUCCCUGGAAAGUGAAAGUUUAUAAAGUCUGGUGUGAUGAUUCAUCUUCAUUGUCAACUCUUGAGGAGGGGGAGUUUGACUCAUCAUGGAAACACGUACUUCAAGGUAUAUCUUUGAGCUUAUUUCCAGAAGUAUUUAACUGAAGAGGGAAGAUCCACCCAGAAUGCAGGCAGCUUUGUUCCAUGGGAUCUGACGUAGACUGAAUAAAAAGAAGAAAGUGAUGUGAACCCCAGCACCCAUUCCUGUUUCAGGACUACUGAUGCCAUCUGACCCCCUACCCAAGCUCCUGUCAGUAUACCUUCACAGUCAUGAUGGACUGCACCUACAGACUGUGAGACAGAAUAAAGCUUUCCCUCCUAAAA